rnacentral:rRNA from 1 species
GGAAAGCGGCGGACGGGUGAGUAACGCGUGGGCAACCUGCCCUUUGCAGAGGGAUAGCCUCGGGAAACCGGGAUUAAAACCACAUAAAGCCGGGAGACCGCAUGGGAUACCGGUCAAAGAUUUAUCGGCAGAGGAUGGGCCUGCGUCUGAUUAGUUAGUUGGUGAGGUAACGGCUCACCAAGGCAAUGAUCAGUAGCCGACCUGAGAGGGUGAACGGCCACAUUGGAACUGAGACACGGUCCAAACUCCUACGGGAGGCAGCAGUGGGGAAUAUUGCACAAUGGGGGAAACCCUGAUGCAGCAACGCCGCGUGAGCGAAGAAGGCUUUGGGUCUGUAAAGCUCUGUCGGAAGGGAAGAAGAUGACGGUACCUUCCGAGGAAGCCCCGGCUAACUACGUGCCAGCAGCCGCGGUAAUACGUAGGGGGCAAGCGUUAUCCGGAAUUAUUGGGCGUAAAGAGUACGUAGGCGGUCUUUUAAGCGCAGGGUAUAAGGCAAGGGCUUAACCUUUGUUGGCCCUGUGAACUGGAGGACUUGAGUAUCGGAGAGGGAAGCGGAAUUCCUAGUGUAGCGGUGAAAUGCGUAGAUAUUAGGAGGAACACCAGUGGCGAAGGCGGCUUUCUGGACGAUAACUGACGCUGAGGUACGAAAGCGUGGGGAGCAAACAGGAUUAGAUACCCUGGUAGUCCACGCCGUAAACGAUGAGCACUAGGUGUCGGGAUCGUAGGAUUUCGGUGCCGCAGUUAACGCAUUAAGUGCUCCGCCUGGGGAGUACGCACGCAAGUGUGAAACUCAAAGGAAUUGACGG